rnacentral:rRNA from 1 species
CGUAAUCCGGGUUGCGGACAGUGUCUGGUGGGUAGUUUGACUGGGGCGGUCUCCUCCUAAAGAGUAACGGAGGAGCACGAAGGUUGGCUAAUCCUGGUCGGACAUCAGGAGGUUAGUGCAAUGGCAUAAGCCAGCUUGACUGCGAGCGUGACGGCGCGAGCAGGUGCGAAAGCAGGUCAUAGUGAUCCGGUGGUUCUGAAUGGAAGGGCCAUCGCUCAACGGAUAAAAGGUACUCCGGGGAUAACAGGCUGAUACCGCCCAAGAGUUCAUAUCGACGGCGGUGUUUGGCACCUCGAUGUCGGCUCAUCACAUCCUGGGGCUGAAGUAGGUCCCAAGGGUAUGGCUGUUCGCCAUUUAAAGUGGUACGCGAGCUGGGUUUAGAACGUCGUGAGACAGUUCGGUCCCUAUCUGCCGUGGGCGCUGGAGAACUGAGGGGGGCUGCUCCUAGUACGAGAGGACCGGAGUGGACGCAUCACUGGUGUUCGGGUUGUCAUGCCAAUGGCACUGCCCGGUAGCUAAAUGCGGAAGAGAUAAGUGCUGAAAGC